CUGUGCCUCUUUCUCUCUCCCUCUCUUGCGCCGUCCCUCAUUCAUUCACUCUUCCACCGUUUUGCCAUUGUGCCAGUUCCAUUGAAAUGUAUCUGCUCUGUAUCUGUUCAAGUGGAGAUAAUCCAUGCAAAUCAGGAGCCCUGGCUUUCAGUGCCUGGUUCACAGAGAGGACUCAGCUUGAGGAGGUCACCCGUGCGCGGCCGCUCCUCCCGUGACAUUUUUCCCCUUAUUGCCGAACUGCUGUGUGUGUACAGGGGCUGAAAGGACUCAAUGCACUGCAACUGCUGCCUGGCUUUCCUUACAACUUUUUUUUAUAAAGGAACUUACCUCCAUCUGUCUUUUCAAGGUCACAGACCACGAACUUUAAACCUCACGACCAGUUCUGAAGAGUAUGGAGCCUACAUAGAACCCCAAGAGCCCAAUGUUUCCAAAGGACAUUAAUUUUGAUUUCUCUGAUGAAGGCUUGUGGCUGCACCUCAUGCUUUACAAAAUAUUACCGAGUCAGAGCCGAAAAGAAAAC